rnacentral:rRNA from 3 species
AAAUAGAACUUUGCAGAGAGAGUUAACAGGGCGUGAAACCGUUAGUUGGCAAACGAAUCGGAGCCACGAAGUCGUUUCGUUGUUGAGUCGCGCCAGGUUCAGCUCGGGUCGAGAGGCUCGGGUGUAGUCUUGGGAGUGGCCAGCAUUGUAAGCGUACACUGCAACCAGUUAGACGAUUGGUUAUGGGCCCAGUUGUGUGCGUCAGCAGUGGCGCGCUGGCUCUCGGGUCGGCGUGUUGCUUGGCGCGCGCGAGUGAACUAUAACCAAAUACUGACUGGCGAAAUGAAAAUCGCCCCCUAGUGGGCGUUAGAGACAAAGCAGCGGGUUGCACGCGUGUCCACGCGUUCGACUGUUGGGUCUAAGCUUGGCGCUCUCGAAUUCAGACUUGCUUGCUAUCAGUGGGGCAACUCCUGGUGCUUGUACAGCUUCUGUCUAAUCGGGCGUCGACUUGGCCCAGCAUCGCUCGGGCGCGCUACGGUAGGGCGCGCGUGCGAGCUCGCUUGCAGCUUGAAUUGGCAGUGAGUAGGUCGGCUUUCCGAACGACCCGUCUUGAAACACGGACCAAGGAGUCUAAUUAGGCAUCGAGUCGAUCGGUCUUGAAUAGGCCAGACGAGGGGGUUUUCCCUGAUUGAAGGCGUAGAGAAAUCGUGUGAUCCCUGGGGCAAUACCAGCCUCUUGGCGCAACAUGUGCCUGUUCGAUAGCAGCUGUAGCAAUAACUGCUGGCGGAGCAAAGAGAUGCCUGAUUGGGACCCGAAAGAUGGUGAGCUUGGGCAAAUUGAAGCCAGAGGAAACUCUGGUGGAGGAUUGUAGCGAUUCUGACGUGCAAAUCGAUCGUCAGACCUGAGUAUAGGGGCGAAAGACUAAUCGAACCAUC